CAAUAGCGUAUAUUAAAGUUGUUGCGGUUAAAAAGCUCGUAGUUGGAUUUCUGUGGAAAACAGGCGGUCCACCUUUUGGGUGAGUAUCUGCAUUGGUUUCUGCAUCUUCUCGGAAAACGUUUCUGCGCUUGAUUGCGUGGGGCGGAGUUCGGGACUUUUACUUUGAGGAAAUUAGAGUGUUCACGGCAGGCAUACGCCCUGAAUAUAUUAGCAUGGAAUAAUGAUCUAGGGCUUUGGCUCUAUUUUGUUGGUUUCUAGAGCUAAAGUAAUGAUUAAUAGGGACAAUUGGGGGCAUUCGUAUUAACGCGUCAGAGGUGAAAUUCUUGGAUUGCGUUACGACGAACUACUGCGAAAGCAUUUGCCAAGGAUGUUUUCAUUGAUCAAGAACGAAAGUAAGGGGAUCGAAGACGAUCAGAUACCGU
rnacentral:rRNA from 1 species